rnacentral:rRNA from 1 species
GACGAACGCUGGCGGCGUGCUUAACACAUGCAAGUCGAGCGGUAAGGCCUCUUCGUGGGUACACGAGCGGCGAACGGGUGAGUAACACGUAGGUGACCUGCCCUCAGCUCUGGGAUAAGCCUGGUAAACUGGGUCGAAUACCUGAUAUGACCUUUCCUCGCAUGGGGGGUGGGGGAAAGUAUUUUCGGCUGGGGAUGGGCGCGCGGGCUGUCAGCUUGUUGGUGGGGUGAUGGCCUACCAAGGCGGCGACGGGUGGCCGGCCUGAGUGGGCGGCCGGCCAGGCUGGGACUGAGACACGGCACAGCUACCUACGGGAGGAAGCAGUGAGGAAUCUUGCGCAACGGGCGGAAGCUUGACGAAGCGACGCCGCGUGAGGGCUGCCGGCCUUCGGGUUGUAGACCUCUUUCGACACCGACGGAUUUGGACGGUAGGGGUAGAAGAAGCACCGGCCAACUACGUG